rnacentral:pre_miRNA from 1 species
AACCAGUGCAGACUGGCAUGCCCUAGGCAUCUCUCUGGGCUGGUAUCUCUUUGAGCUGCUCACCCUUAAGCAUGACUGGGAGG